ensembl:misc_RNA 7SK 7SK RNA
GGAUGUGAGGGCGAUCUGGCUGUGACAUCUGUCACCACACUGAUCGCCAGAGUUGAUUCGGUCGAUCUGGCUGGCUAGGCGGGUUCCCCUUCCUCCCUCACUGCUCCAUGUGCGUCCCUCCCGAAGCUGCGUGCUGGGUUGAAGAGGAUGACUAUCCCCGAUAGAGGAGGACCUUCAGUCAAGGGUAUACGAGUAGCUGCACUCCUCUGCUAGAACCUCCAAACAAGUUCUCAAGGAAAUAAGCAGACUGCAAAUUAAGUUUAGGCGUACACCACAAGAAGUUAGAAAAAUAAUAGCAAAAUAU